CAGUAGCCGCGGGAAUACGUAGGUGGCAAGCGUUGUCCGGAAUUAUUGGGCGUAAAGGGCUCGCAGGCGGUUUCUUAAGUCUGAUGUGAAAGCCCCCGGCUCAACCGGGGAGGGUCAUUGGAAACUGGGAAACUUGAGUGCAGAAGAGGAGAGUGGAAUUCCACGUGUAGCGGUGAAAUGCGUAGAGAUGUGGAGGAACACCAGUGGCGAAGGCGACUCUCUGGUCUGUAACUGACGCUGAGGAGCGAAAGCGUGGGGAGCGAACAGGAUUAGAUACCCGGGUAGUCCCUGUCUCUUAUAC
rnacentral:rRNA from 1 species